rnacentral:rRNA from 1 species
AACGUAGGACGCAAGCGUUAUCCGGAAUUACUGGGCGUAAAGAGCGCGCAGGCGGGUCAGCAAGUCAUGCGUGAAAGCUCCCGGCUAAACUGGGAGAGGUCGGAUGAUACUGCUAAUCUUGAGUGUGACAGAGGCGUGUGGAAUUCCGCGUGUAGUGGUGAAAUGCGUAGAUAUGCGGAGGAACACCAGUGGCGAAGGCGGCACGCUGGGUCACAACUGACGCUGAGGCGCGAAAGCAUGGGUAGCGAAC